UGACCAUAUCUUAAAAAGUGUUAUUGUUAUUUUAACAAUUCUUUUUUUAUUAAAUUCCUUAACAUUUUAUCUUUAAGAAUCCGUUUUCAAAAAUCAUCGAGCGAUCAUUAGAUGUGACAGUGAGCGAUAAUAGUGGACGCUGACAGGCCCUACGACGCUGAUAAGUCGAUCUGCAAACUGUCACUUGAAAUUUUGGAAUGGGUGGACAGAAUAGGGGUCGGCGAUUCUACUCGAUUCCAGACGAAGUAUUCGAUUUUUUUUUGAGAAUAGAUUAUUUUGUUGAUUCUUUUCAGAAUCGAUUCUGAAACGCUCGAUUCUAUUUCGACUCAGAAUCGAACAGUCGAAAGUUGAAUGUGGGAAUGCUCUAUACUCAGGAGGCUCGUUCGCGCGUUUUCGUUACUCGAGCGCAUGUUUAUAAAAGUCGCAAACUUUUUGUUUUGUUCUGCGCUGCAAUGGAUGAUUUAAACAACUCAGUUUCAAGGCGACAUUAUUUGUCAAAAUGUUGACUUUGCAUGGAAAGAUUCAAAAGAAGAAUAUGUCUAUAAUCAUCAUGAUCAAGUUUUCCUAUUCCUAUAUAUACCUAUUACAUAAAUAUACCAUAAAAAUAUAAAUUCUAUUAUGCAAUGAUAGUUAUGAUUUAUACAAAAAAUAAAUUUAAA